AACAAACUUUCGCCCCAUCUCCGAAACCGGUCACACCCAUAUCACCCGGUAUUCAGCCUAGUACUCCAGAAGGAGCGACCAGUGAAUUUCGUAAUUCGGACCAACGUUCCUUUCAGGAAAUGAUGGCCGGACGCGAUGUACUAAGUGAUGCCAUUUUGCUCGAUCUUUCGAAUAGAAUUAAUUGCAGCAUUUAUCCAGUCAAUGACUUUGCUGUAGAUCUUGGCUUUGAUGAUGCCACAGCAACUUCUGCAGAGCAAAUGUCAAUACAGUCUAUGAAUUCGCAGAGGAGAUACAAAAUUAUUCUUGACAAGUUUGUCUUGAAUAAUGGAAGGGGUGCUCAGAAACUCAUAGAUGCAUUCAAAGAUAAGAAAAAACAGCUCCUUGUAGACCUUAUAAAAGAAGCCGUGGCAAAACAAGGUGUACAGAAAGAAUCUGGAACUAUCUAGGAAUAUGCACUUGUCGGAGAUCAGAAUGUACAAGAGCAGCCCUUCUAGUGUUAGUAACGUGGAAGAUUUGUAUAUCGUGAAACUAGCGAAGCUGCUUCAACCUCUGAUUUUGGGGGUGAUCUACACGUCGCUCUAAAUAUUGAUUACAUCAUGGCAGAGAUGAUCAGGAUGGAACAUACCAACCUAGUACAGCAGUAUGUAAAUCUUCUGGAGAAAUAGAAACUUGCAUCACCGAGGACCAUUAAUGAAUUGAAUAACACCCUCAUAGAAAUAGAUGCAGGAGGACUCGUAGAUAAGUGCGCAUAGACAAAGAUACGUAUGAAACGAAGAGAGAGGGAUGUGUGUGUCGGGGUGCAUGUACUA